rnacentral:lncRNA from 1 species
CAGGCCUCAGCCAGGGCAGGAAGUGUUCCUGGGACCAGGGCCCUCCUCCUUGACCACCCCACCCCCAACAAGGACACCUUAUGGGGGCAGGGCAAUAUGUGACCACUCAGACCCUGCCCUUGCACAAGGGCCCACGUAGGAGGAAGGAGACCCAGCGUGUCCCCCAGGUUCACCCACCGCAGCCCCAACCUACAGCCCGACCCACCCAAAGGAGGAAGAAAUAAGAAGCGCUGUCACUAGGAGCCAGAGUCACUCACACCACAGCUUCCAUCCUCCGUGAUCUGGUCUGCACAAGCACUCCAUCCCGCAGUUAGUCCAGCCCUGCAAACGGAGCCCAAGUCAGGACGGACCCAACCUGGCCUUUCAGGACCCGGCCUCUGCAGGUAAAUCCUGCCUUUCACCUCCUGCCACCCUUCUCCAAGAUGUCUGUGGGACAUGGCUACUGCGAACUCCUGUUGGAGGAGAAAUGGCCUAGACAUACAGGGGAUUCUGUUCUUAUCCUCAACUCCUCUCUCCCAACUCCUGAAAGAGGGUGAUGGUCCCUGCACAGAGCCCUGGGACCUGCAGUGACUUCUCUGGAGGAGUAUCCUUCCCCACCACACUGAUUUGGCCACCCAGUGACUUGCCUAGGGCAGCGGCAGGUGGGAGCAGGUGCGUUCAGAGCCAGCGUUGGUUCCUGCCAGCUCUCUCAUUCUUUUCCCUUCCCUGAGAAAGGCAUGACCCACACUGGGGCUGCUCUCUCAGUCAGGGGCCCAGACUGAGAAGACAUGUGGGGCAGAGCCCAGAGGACCACAGCCACCAACAUGUAACACACCUGCGGGAUAAACUGCUAUGUUUUAAGACACAGAGAUGAGGGGCGGUUUGUUCCUGCGGCCUUAACUAGCAAAAGCUGACGGACAUAGGCCUUGUCCUCCUCCGAGUCCUCCACAGUAAUGUCUCUUCUCCGCUUGCCUCAAGCCUGUAGCCAGAGAAUCCUGCUCUGCUCCCCUUGUUUUGGGCAGAGUCCUCGCUUUACCUGCGAUCCCGCUCAGGUCCAACUGUGAGUCUUGUCUGUUGCCCAGCUUGGGUGGUCUAGCCUGUGACCCUCAGCAAUAGGGCAAUUUACCCCUGUAAACCCCACAGCCCCUCAGAUAAACUACCCAGUCACACCGUUGGCUAAUUUCCCACCUCCCUUGGGCUCACAUGGACACUCCUGGAGCCCAUGCACACAGCAGAGACUCCAGGGCAGCUGGAGAAACUGACCUAACACCUUCUUCAGGCUCCACAUUUCUUCUGAUGUGGCCACCCAUAGGCUGGUGCUGGAGUAGACUUCAAGGUGACCGCUCACCCCCCAGGAGGUGGAGCAAGGACCCUCCACCCUCAGCAUCCCCUCAGCCAGACCGGCACGUGGGCCUCUCACCCCCUGCCACCCUUACCCUGCUUCCUCCAUGGUCCCUCGUGGGGAAGGAGUGGCCCUGCACUUCCUGUUUGCCAUUACCUGAGCCCUCGCUACCUGGGGAGUGAUAAACUUUGUGAUCUCAUCAGCCAAGCCUGGACUUCCAUAUGCUACCGGAGGAUCUCUGUCAACAAUCCCCGUAUUUCCGCAAAGCCUGGACUUCCAUACCGUCAUCUCCAUAACGAGGUCAAAAAAGUCAGCUUGGAGUCCCGAGGAUGACCACUUCCCACCCCUUCCCUGUGGCAAUGUCUGAUGGCUCAUCCUCUGAGACGGCAGCUGCAAGAAAACGUGAUUGAAAGGGUGAUUUUAAAAAGGAAUCUGUUCAAAUAGUUAAGAUGCAAAGAACUGUCUCCAGCGACCAUCCCCAGUAGAAAAGUGGUUUUUGCUUCGAUCCAUCACAAAGCACCACUGCCAUCUGGUGGCAGGAUCUUGAAUUGCAAGCAAAUUCCCCAAGAUUAAAUACGCUCUAGGAAAGUGAUUCUCAAA